UAAAAUAAUCUUAAUGAUCAUACCCGAAAAUAUAAGAUCUAAGCAUAAUAUUGAGUUUAGGCUAAAUUAAGGUGCUGUGGCAUCAGCUCGCAAUAAAUAGUAGCUUAGUGGUGAAAGGCCUUCAAUUGUAUUGAUAGCUGGAUAAUUAUUAAAUAUAUCUAGUUUACACUAAAUUUAUGAAGUGAUAAGAUUUCAUAAUGAGAAAUUAAUGUGUGUUUAAAUGUGCUAUUAAUUAAUUAUUAACAGCAUUUACUUUAAUUAUAAUAAUUUUCCAUGUACAAUAUUCUCAAGUAAUAAUUUAUUUAUCAAAAUUAGUUUGUAAUUCGAUAAUGUAUAAAUUAGUAAAUUACUAUAAAUUUAAUUAAAUCAACUCGGCAAAACCAUAUACGACUGUUUAACAAAAACAUAGCCGGUAGACACUACAUUAUCGGUGUGACCUGCCCGGUGAAUUUUUAACGGCCGCAGUACUAUGACUGUGCAAAGGUAGCAUAAUCAUUUGGCUUUUAAUUGGAGUCUAGUAUGAAAGGGAAAACGUAUAUAAGCUGUAUCUAAUUAUAAGUUUAUUUAAAUUAUUUAUAGGGUGAAAAUGCCCUAGAUUAAAAAAAUAGACGAGAAGACCCUUAGAAUUUUAAGAAAAGCCAUAGAUUGAAUGUGGAGUGAUUUUUGUUGGGGCAACAUUUUUUCAAACAAAUAAAAAAAUCAAUACUACGAUAUAACGAAAAAGUUUAAUUAAAAGAAAAUUACCUUAGGGAUAACAGCAUAAUUUUAAAUAAAGAUUGUGACCUCGAUGUUGGACUAGGAACUAUUAAGGCUAGUCGUUUUAAUAUAAUAGGUUCUGUUCGAACUUUGCUUCCUA
rnacentral:rRNA from 1 species